rnacentral:rRNA from 1 species
GACGAACGCUGGCGGCGUGCUUAACACAUGCAAGUCGAACGGAAAGGCCUCUUUCGGGGGGUACUCGAGUGGCGAACGGGUGAGUAACACGUGAGUAACCUGCCCUUGACUUUGGGAUAACUUCAGGUAACUGGGGCUAAUACCGGAUAGGAGCUCCUGCUGCAUGGUGGGGGUUGGAAAGUUUCGGCGGUUGGGGAUGGACUCGCGGCUUAUCAGCUUGUUGGUGGGGUAGUGGCUUACCAAGGCUUUGACGGGUAGCCGGCCUGAGAGGGUGACCGGCCACAUUGGGACUGAGAUACGGCCCAGACUCCUACGGGAGGCAGCAGUGGGGAAUAUUGCACAAUGGGUGGAAGCCUGAUGCAGCAACGCCGUGUGCGGGAUGACGGCCUUCGGGUUGUAAACCGCUUUCGCUCAUGACGAAGCUUUGUGUGACGGUAGUGGGUAAAGAAGCACCGGCUAACUACGUG